GCGGAAGUGGCGGAAUCGGUAGACGCGUAAGCCUCAGGAGUUUAUGGCCGCAAGGCCGUGAGGGUUCGAGUCCCUCCUUCCGCA
rnacentral:tRNA from 1 species